UGGGGGCAACGGUGGAUCCCUCCUUACCGAACGAUAUUGAAAUGUGCAGUGUCCACACAGAUUGUCUGAUGAAAAAGUAACGAGCAGAGAAACCUUUAUAGGCUUGUAGCUCAGGUGGUUAGAGCGCACCCCUGAUAAGGGUGAGGUCGGUGGUUCAAGUCCACUCCUGCCUACCAAUUUCCUUGAUUGCUGAUUUGCUACCCCAUUUCCUUGCCCCCAUCAACUUUCCCUGUCUCCCGCUUGCCUUAAAGGGAAGUGGCUCGGGCAUGAAUUCAUGAGUAAGCAAGAUUCCGAUGAUGCAUAACUGACAUGAUCUCUGAUUUGUUUCAAACAGAGUCUGCCUUGUACGGAUGAGGACAAAGAUUCGAUCCCUCUUUGAUCCACCUAAAAAAUCCUGUAAUAAAUAAACGAAAGAAUAUAUUGGAGACUUUAUGCUGCGAACAAUCUAGCUCUUAAACAAUUUGGAAUUGGCUGAUAAUUGAAAUGAUAUAUAAUCGGGAGAUUAUUGGAAAGUCUCUAAAAGCGAACAGCCGAUGAUGGAAACAUCUUCUGACUGUGAGGUUAAGUGACUAUGCUUUCACAGUGGAUGCCUUGGCAUUU
rnacentral:misc_RNA from 1 species